rnacentral:rRNA from 1 species
UACGUAGGUGGCACGCGUUGUCCGGAUUUAUUGGGCGUAAAGCGCGUGUAGGUGGCUCUGUAAGUAGGGCGUGAAAGCUCCUGGCUCAACCGGGAGAGGCCGUUCUAUACUGCAGAGCUAGAGGAUGGUAGAGGGAGGUGGAAUUCCAGGUGUAGCGGUGGAAUGCGCAGAUAUCUGGAGGAACACCGGUGGCGAAGGCGGGUCUCUGGGCAGUAACUGACGCUGAGGAGCGAAAGCAUGGGUAGCGAACAGGAUUAGAUA